AUUGAACGCUGGCGGCAUGCCUUACACAUGCAAGUCGAACGGUAACGCGGGGCAACCUGGCGACGAGUGGCGAACGGGUGAGUAAUGCAUCGGAACGUGCCCAGUAGUGGGGGAUAGCCCGGCGAAAGCCGGAUUAAUACCGCAUACGACCUACGGGUGAAAGGGGGGGAUCGCAAGACCUCUCGCUAUUGGAGCGGCCGAUGCCAGAUUAGCUAGUUGGUGGGGUAAAAGCCUACCAAGGCGACGAUCUGUAGCUGGUCUGAGAGGACGACCAGCCACACUGGGACUGAGACACGGCCCAGACUCCUACGGGAGGCAGCAGUGGGGAAUUUUGGACAAUGGGCGCAAGCCUGAUCCAGCCAUGCCGCGUGCGGGAAGAAGGCCUUCGGGUUGUAAACCGCUUUUGUCAGGGAAGAAAUCUUCUGGGUUAAUACCUCGGGAGGAUGACGGUACCUGAAGAAUAAGCACCGGCUAACUACGUGCCAGCCGCCGCCGUAA
rnacentral:rRNA from 1 species